rnacentral:rRNA from 1 species
CCUAUCCUACGGGACGCAGCAGUGAGGAAUAUUGGUCAAUGGGCGGGAGCCUGAACCAGCCAAGUCGCGUGAAGGAAGAAGGUACUUAGUAUUGUAAACUUCUUUUGUCGGGGAACAAAGGCGGAGACGCGUCUCCGGAUGAGUGUACCCGAAGAAAAAGCAUCGGCUAACUCCGUGCCAGCAGCCGCGGUAAUACGGAGGAUGCGAGCGUUAUCCGGAUUUAUUGGGUUUAAAGGGUGCGCAGGCGGGCGAUCAAGGCAACGGUAAAAUGUCGUGGCU